UACGAAGGGGGCUAGCGUUGCUCGGAAUGACUGGGCGUAAAGGGCGCGUAGGCGGCUUGGACAGUCAGGCGUGAAAUUCCCGGGCUUAACCUGGGGGCUGCGCUUGAUACGUUCGGGCUAGAGUGGGGAAGAGGGUCGUGGAAUUCCCAGUGUAGAGGUGAAAUUCGUAGAUAUUGGGAAGAACACCGGUGGCGAAGGCGGCGACCUGGUCCUUGACUGACGCUGAGGCGCGAAAGCGUGGGGAGCAAACAGG
rnacentral:rRNA from 1 species